rnacentral:lncRNA from 1 species
AUGUCAUCAUUGGAAUACAUGAAAAGCGACUGUUUCGCCUCUGGGACCUUGUCGUCUGCCUCUCUCAAAGGGACCAUCACUAAAAUUAAAAGCAGACGGUCAAAGAAGAGGAACAAGUUCUUACGUAAAGCAUCAGAAGACCGAGAUACUGAAUGCGAUGUUUGCAGGAUCCCUCCUCCCUGUGGUUUUGGUGGCGGCAACCGCACGGUGCGCCGGAUCUUCAUUGCGUGCGCCUUGUCCAUUUUCGCGCUGUUUGGUGCUGUGGCUAUGGAUUUCAACACGCGCACGGCCGCGUGGCGUGCAACUGAGGCUUCAUUGAGUGAGCUGACCUCUUGUCGGACUAACGCCACUCUAAAGCUCGUAAUGGAUCUUCAGAAUAUGAGAAAUGUGUGUAUAACAGAGCUAAAUGACGCCAAAACGGUGCAAAACGCGUGCUCCAGCCCCUUGGCUGUUUUGAGACGUGAGAUGACGGCGUGCGCUCAGGUGAACACUUCUGGUCUGAGAUCUCGCUGCGGCACGCAGUUAGAUGAGUACUGUGCGCAGCUGCAAAGGAUUCACUCACAACUUUUCAACACAACAGAUACUGAUUUGGAUGGUAGGACACUCGGUUUCACGCUGUCCAUAGCCUUAUUGCUGGAUUAUUGGGGAAAUACUGAAUAUGAUAUCAGGCUCCUGAAACUGACUCCAGACUGGGUAGAAGUUUUAUCACUGAGGCUCUUAGUGAGCUUCUAUGAGCUAACCCACCAGUUACUAGAUUCUCAGCAGAUUAAAGACCAUCUUGGGUUUCAGCAUAAGUGGUGGUCCACUCUCAACAGCCUCACCAUGGCCAAACUCAUGUGUGAGAACCUGGACCGGUGCUGGGCUAAGAACAUGGACGUGGCGCCGGACUCCCUCUUUCUUCUGGAAGCCCCCAAUAAUCUGCUGCCUGGCAACAGCUCAGAGGGUGUUCUCGGGGUGCUGGGCCCCGCGUGGGACACGCAGGAGUGCUUCGUGGGGGCCGCCGGCGUGUCCCUGAGACUCCGGUCACGAGACCUGCUCUCCAGCCUCAGCCUGAAGCUGUGCCUGCUCAGCCUGGCUUGCCUCAUCUACCCGGCCGUGCUCUUCUCCUUCAAGCAGAUGACGGAGUGGAUCCAGAACUACGCGCGCAGCCUCAAGGAGCGCACCGAGGACCUGAAAGGGGAGCGGCGGCUGGCAGAGAACCUUCUCCAUCAGAUGCUCCCCAAGUCCGUGGCCAAACAGCUCAGGCAGCAGAAACACGUAGAGGCGGAGAGCUACGAGCAGGUGAGCAGGCGGGGCCACUGA